UAAACAUAGACAGUUCACAUACCCGGCUGUCCGCCCGGGAACUACGAGCAUUAGCUUAAAACCCAAAGGACUUGGCGGUGCUUUAAACCCCCCUAGAGGAGCCUGUUCUAGAACCGAUAAUCCCCGUUCAACCUCACCCUUCCUUGUUCUUUCCGCCUAUAUACCACCGUCGUCAGUUUACCCUGUGAAGGUACAACAGUAAGCACAAUCGGCACAGCCCAAAACGCCAGGUCGAGGUGUAGCGUAUGGAAGGGGAAGAAAUGGGCUACAUUCCUUAUCAUUAAGGCAUACGGAUGAUAUGUUGAAACACAUAACUGAAGGAGGAUUUAGCAGUAAGCAGGAAGUAGAGUGUCCCGCUGAAACCGGC
rnacentral:rRNA from 1 species